rnacentral:rRNA from 1 species
CCUACGGGAGGCAGCAGUGGGGAAUAUUGGACAAUGGGGGCAACCCUGAUCCAGCCAUGCCGCGUGAGUGAUGACGGCCUUAGGGUUGUAAAGCUCUUUUCUCCGGGACGAUAAUGACGGUACCGGAGGAAUAAGCCCCGGCUAACUUCGUGCCAGCAGCCGCGGUAAUACGAAGGGGGCUAGCGUUGCUCGGAAUCACUGGGCGUAAAGGGCGCGUAGGCGGCUGACUUAGUCGAGGGUGAAAGCCCGUGGCUCAACCACGGAAUGGCCUUCGAUACUGGUUGGCUUGAGACCGGAAGAGGACAGCGGAACUGCGAGUGUAGAGGUGAAAUUCGUAGAUAUUCGCAAGAACACCAGUGGCGAAGGCGGCUGUCUGGUCCGGUUCUGACGCUGAGGCGCGAAAGCGUGGGGAGCAAACAGGAUUAGAUACCCUGGCAGUCCACGCUGUAAACGAUGAAUGCUAGCCGUUGGUCUGCAUGCAGGUCAGUGGCGCCGCUAACGCAUUAAGCAUUCCGCCUGGGGAGUCGGUCGCAAGAUUAAAACUUAAAGUAGUAGUUGCGUGNGAGNGCGACGACGACGACGACGGAGGAGG